rnacentral:rRNA from 1 species
GAUGAACGCUGGCGGCGUGCCUAAUACAUGCAAGUCGAGCGAACAGACGAGGCGCUUGCUCCUCUGACGUUAGCGGCGGACGGGUGAGUAACACGUGGAUAACCUACCUAUAAGACUGGGAUAACUUCGGGAAACCGGAGCUAAUACCGGAUAAUAUAUUGAACCGCAUGGUUCAAUAGUGAAAGACGGUUUUGCUGUCACUUCUCGAUGGAUCCGCGCCGCAUUAGCUAGUUGGUAAGGUAACGGCUUACCAAGGCAACGAUGCGUAGCCGACCUGAGAGGGUGAUCGGCCACACUGGAACUGAGACACGGUCGAGACUCCUACGGGAGGCAGCAGUAGGGAAUCUGCCGCAAUGGGCGAAAGCGUGACGGAGCAACGCCGCGUGAGUGAUGAAGGUCUUCGGAUCGUAAAACUCUGUUAUUAGGGAAGAACAAAUGUGUAAGUAACUAUGCACGUCUUGACGGUACCUAAUCAGAAAGCCACGGCUAACUACGUG